UACGAGGGGAGCAAGCGUUGUUCGGAUUUACUGGGCGUAAAGGGUGCGUAGGCGGUUUGGUAAGUCUUGUGUGAAAUCUUCGGGCUCAACUCGAAGUCUGCAUGAGAAACUGCCGGGCUUGAGUGUGGGAGAGGUGAGUGGAAUUCCCGGUGUAGCGGUGAAAUGCGCAGAUAUCGGGAAGAACACCCGUGGCGAAGGCGGCUCUCUGGGACGGUACUGACGCUGAGACGCGAAAGCGUGGGGAGCGAACAGG
rnacentral:rRNA from 1 species